rnacentral:rRNA from 1 species
UACAGAGGUGGCAAGCGUUGUUCGGAAUUACUGGGCGUAAAGGGCGCGUAGGCGGUCUCUUAAGUUCCGUGUGAAAUCCCUCGGCUCAACUGGGGAACUGCACGGGAAACUGGAAGGCUUGAGUUCGGGAGAGGGAAGCGGAAUUCCGGGUGUAGCGGUGAAAUGCGUAGAUAUCCGGAGGAACACCGGUGGCGAAGGCGGCUCUCUGGAACGGUACUGACGCUGAGACGCGAAAGCGUGGGGAGCGAACAGG